UAAAGAAAGCGUAAUAGCUCACUGGUCGAGUCGGCCUGCGCGGAAGAUGUAACGGGGCUAAACCAUGCACCGAAGCUGCGGCAGCGACACUAUGUGUUGUUGGGUAGGGGAGCGUUCUGUAAGCCUGCGAAGGUGUGCUGUGAGGUAUGCUGGAGGUAUCAGAAGUGCGAAUGCUGACAUAAGUAACGAUAAAGCGGGUGAAAAGCCCGCUCGCCGGAAGAC
rnacentral:rRNA from 1 species